CGGCAUAGCUGGGUAGCUAUGUAUGGACGGGAUAAGUGCUGAAAGCAUCUAAGCAUGAAGCCCCCCUCAAGAUGAGAUUUCCCAACUUCGGUUAUAAGAUCCCUCAAAGAUGAUGAGGUUAAUAGGUGCGAGGUGGAAGCGUAGCGAUACGUGGAGCUGACGAAUACUAAUCGAUCGAAGACUUAAUCAAUUU
rnacentral:rRNA from 1 species